AAACACACAAAAAUUUGCCAAUUUUUUUUUUAUAUUUGUUGAGUACUUCUGUUCUAGACAUGCUUAUUAUUAUUCCUAAUAUUUUUAAUGUAAACAUGCAUCAGGUGUCAAUCAAAAUAGGAUUAUUUUGGUGAAAUACGUAUUAAGAAAUAUUUUUGUUCCAUACUUGUGGAAUAACACCCUAUUUUUUUUUAAUGAAUACAGACAAUAUGCGAAAAUAAAACCUAUAACACCGGGAUCUACUGUUUUGAAAACGAAACUUUCCUAAAAAUUAAAACCACCAAAUUGAAAUUUCGGUAAUUUAAUGGACAUUUCAACGAAGAAUCCAUAGCAAAUAAACGAAUGGUUCUUAGCAGUUCCAGAUGAGCGGAUUGUCGUAGAAACUCCAUCGCACCUCGACUUCUGGGUUCCGUUGUGAUCAGGUCUGUGGAAUUUAAGAUUUUUUUUUAAUACGAAUUAGAUUCUAGGUAGUGAGUUUAUGCUCAAAGCAAGUAACAUUUAUACCUGUGAAUUUACUAAGAUUUAUGGAAAAUUUGUAACUGGUACUCCUAGAAAAAUUAUAACAGCGUAAAAUUUUUCUAAAGAGUACCAGUUACGAAUAGCGUACGUAGCUGGCCUCGGUGGAUUUAGUCAUAGAGUUCCGCCGAUAAAAAUUGUUCCGAGCGCUGAAUGUCACGGUAAUGUGCAAGCUUACCUAGGAACUGUGCUUUAAUCCUUCACAAGCUGGCAGCUGAGAUAAAAAGGACAAUGAAAUUGAAUGGCUUGGCAUGUCGCGGAAUGUCUGAGGCAGCUCCGCAGCAGGGGGAGCAGGGCUACUCACUGGCAUUGAGGCACUCCACCUCGAGGUACUGCACGCGCACGGGCGUGGCGCGGUAGGCGUCCGGCUGGGAGCGCCGGUCCUCGAAGCUGAGCGAGCAGCGGCCGCGCGAGGAGUACGUGGGCGGCGUGUAGACGGCCGAGCGGCACGGGAACAGCGUCGCGGUGAGGCAGCGGUCCACGCACUGCUCCACGGAGUCCACCGCGAGGGCCGGUCCCGCCGCCUGUCCCACCAGCUCGUAGCCGGGCGCCCGCGUCGCCGCCCACAGCCGGCCCGAGCAGUUGCGCGGCACUGCGCACACCACACCGCGCUCUAGCCCCACGUCUCUGCGGGGAGCACGGCGGACACCGGGUCUCCCAUUUCUCACUUUCGUUCGUCCCGUCGAAACUCCAUUCUCAUAUGAUAACCCCGAUCUAGACUAAAUGUUACACCCUAAUUACAGUCAACGGCAACGGAAACCAAUUCCUGUAGCUGCGAUUACUUAAACACUCUCUUAUAUCAACCUCUAAAGAGACCAAAAUAAUUCUACAUUUUUAUAAGUGAAAACAUCUUUACAGUUUGAAAACAUGGCAGCUUGUUAAACAGUAAAUAUUAUGGACAAGAUACAAAAAAGUUGGUAAUGGUUAAAACUGUUUAUUAGAGCCACUCACAUGCCACGAAGGAUAAAUUUUUGUCAUCUUGGAAAAUUCAAAAUUAGAUUUUUAUCACACAGAAAAUCUUGAUGACCCUCAUGAGCCAGUGUGUUUCCUUGAGGCAGUAGCAUUUCCCCCACCACUGCAGCCUAACUUUUCAGCACCCCUCUCGUCCCGUAUAUCUCUCGAGCCACAGGAGAGUACGAUGCAAGCCAGCCCUAUCAGCAGCUCCGAAACUCUGAGCCCACCUGCCUGCAGCCACAGCCGAGGCUGGAAGGGACUGUGGAUGGUCGUGCGAGCAACUGCAAACGUGAUGUCAUCGAAGAGUGUCGACGUCGAGAAAUGGCCUGAGCUAUACGCAUCCUUGCCGUGCGACGAACUGGAACUACAAAUACGUGGCUGAAAGUUCAAAUAUCCACGGGCCACAGCUGCCCGACAGAAAAGGUAUCUUCAGUCUCCUGCGCAACCUCAGAAGCACGGAGCAGGGCUGUACCUCCUGAAGCACUCGGCGGUGACGGCCGCUCCUGGUUGGCUGUAGAGGAGUAUGAGCGUGUCGUCACUCGGCGCGUAGCCGGACACCUUGAUGAACGCGUCCGUGCAGUUCUGGCCUGCGCAACCACAUGGGAAAUACACGCUCCUGGCUGGACUUAACAGUGGUGCCAACUGCACUCCUGCGAGGGCCAGAUUUUAUUUUUGGGACUAAUCCAAAGACCAGUCACAUUCAAAUAAAUAUUAUGUAUCUUACAACAAUUUAUGUUGUAUUAUUCUGCAGGAAAACAAAUAAAUACAAUAUGUUGCACGUGAUGAAUAAACGAAAAA